rnacentral:rRNA from 1 species
CACGUAGGGCGCAAGCGUUGUCCGGAAUUAUUGGGCGUAAAGAGCUCGUAGGUGGUUUGUUACGUCUGCUGUGAAAACCUAGGGCUUAACCCUGGGCUUGCAGUGGAUACGGGCAGACUAGAGGUAGGUAGGGGAGAAUGGAAUUCCUGGUGUAGCGGUGAAAUGCGCAGAUAUCAGGAAGAACACCCGUGGCGAAAGCGGCUCUCUGGAACGGUACUGACGCUGAGACGCGAAAGCGUGGGGAAGCGAACAGGG